UUAGGGAGACCUCCCGACUCAAAGCAGAACGCAGGUUAGAGCUAAUGAGAGUUAGCGAUAGCGAGUCAGUAAGCUAAGAGUUGGACAUCCCAAAGGUCGUUCGGAUAUAUGUGUUGGCUUCCAAAUUAUUUGGUUCGGUUCAUGGGCUAUUAGCUCAGGUGGUUAGAGCGCACCCCUGAUAAGGGUGAGGUCCCUGGUUCGAGUCCAGGAUGGCCCACCUUUACGAUACAAGGGGGUUUAGCUCAGUUGGUAGAGCGCCUGCUUUGCAAGCAGGAUGUCAACGGUUCGAGUCCGUUAACCUCCACUGAGACAGUUACUGUAAGAAGUAAUCAGAAGCGAAAUGAACCAGGAGGAGUUGAGUAAACUUCAGCAAAUAGUCUUGUGAGUCUGCAAGAGUAUCUGCUGGAUUUUAGAUUCAGCAAAGAACCUUGAAAACUGCAUAGAGAAGAAUGUCAGGUAGAAACGAUUGUUUCAGUGACAAAGCGAAAUGUGAAAGAAGAAUCUGUAAAAAGAGGAAUCUAGAACCUUGAGUAGAGUCAUUGAGGUAAUUUUUACAGACACCAAUGUAAGUUUGCGAAAAAGU
rnacentral:tRNA from 2 species